rnacentral:rRNA from 1 species
GACGAACGCUGGCGGCGUGCUUAACACAUGCAAGUCGAACGAAGAGCGAUGGAAGCUUGCUUCUAUCAAUCUUAGUGGCGAACGGGUGAGUAACGCGUAAUCAACCUGCCCUUCAGAGGGGGACAACAGUUGGAAACGACUGCUAAUACCGCAUACGAUCCAAUCUCGGCAUCGAGACUGGAUGAAAGGUGGCCUCUAUUUAUAAGCUAUCACUGAAGGAGGGGAUUGCGUCUGAUUAGCUAGUUGGAGGGGUAACGGCCCACCAAGGCGAUGAUCAGUAGCCGGUCUGAGAGGAUGAACGGCCACAUUGGGACUGAGACACGGCCCAGACUCCUACGGGAGGCAGCAGUGGGGAAUCUUCCGCAAUGGACGAAAGUCUGACGGAGCAACGCCGCGUGAGUGAUGACGGCCUUCGGGUUGUAAAGCUCUGUUAAUCGGGACGAAUGGUUCUUGUGCAAAUAGUGCGAGGAUUUGACGGACCG